rnacentral:rRNA from 1 species
AGCAGCCGCGGUAAUUCCAGCUCCAAUAGCGUAUAUUAAAGUUGUUGCAGUUAAAAAGCUCGUAGUUGAAUUUCGGGGUCAGUAGGUCGGUCGUGCCACUGGUAUGAACUGGUUUUACUGAUUCCUCCCUCUUGAAGAACUGUAAUGCCAUUAAUUUGGUGUUGCAGGGAAUCAGGACUGUUACUUUGAAAAAUUAGAGUGUUUAAAGCAGGCUUUAGCUUGAAUACAUUAGCAUGGAAUAAUGAAAUAGGACGUUUGAUCCUAUUUUGUUGGUUUCUAGGAUUGACGUAAUGAUUAAUAGGGAUAGUUGGGGCAUUAGUAUUCAAUUGUCAGAGGUGAAAUUCUUGGAUUUAUUGAAGAC